UGUGAAUGUGUUUGUUUGUCUAUAUGUGGUCCUGUGACAGACUUGCGUCCUGUCCAGGGUGUACCCUGCCUCACGCCCUAUGACUGCCGGGAUAGGCUCCAGCCCCCCGCAACCUAAUCUUGGAUAAGUGGUCGAAAAGGAGUGUGUGUAUUAUCCAAAUGAACUGG